rnacentral:piRNA from 1 species
UAGUGCUGCUGAUGACGUCUGUCCCU